rnacentral:lncRNA from 1 species
AUGAUGGGAGAGAGGAGCAGGGCUUCUGAAUUUGCAAAUGACAGAAGACUUCAAUUCCAAUCAGCUUGGGAGAAAAAUAGAAGAAAAAAAAAGAUAUACAUUGGCUCUGGUGACUACAAAGAGAACCAGCUGGAGACUUCUUUGAGCCUGCGAGGACCUCACACGUCAUAUCACAUUAUCAGGAGUUGGUUUGUCUUCUUUUCUUGCUUCAGUUUUCUUCUAUGCUGCUGCCAUUUCAGGUAGAACCUACUUGCAAUUUGUGGUGACCCUAGCAGGUCCAGCCUUAAUUUUUACAAGAUUCAAGUCUAGUAGAAAAAAGAAAAGGAAAUAUUUUAUUUUCAUAUGGUUCAAGACAGAGCCAGCUCUUGCAGUCUUAAUGGGAUUGAUCACAGGAGCAUCCCUGAAUACCUAGAAUGAGCAAAUUGCAAUGAUGCUGGUCAGGUGGGGACCCUUGCUGCAGCCGGCAGCUCCAACUGAGAAUCAGGUGUGUUGAGACUGGGGUAGGCGUUGGUUCUCUAGAGGAAAAUCAGGACAGUGUGUGUUAUCAGAAGAAAGAGAAUGGAUAUUGGGUGGUGAACCUUUAUAUAUCUUUUGUCAAAUAGAUAUCAAUAUCUAUCUUUCAGUGCACAAUCUCCAGCAAAACAGGCAUUAGCAUAAAAAAUAUGAUGAAUUAACAGCAACAAUACUUUGAGACACAUGGCAGAAAUAUGAUUUGAAUGCAGGAAGGUGGCUUUGAAACUAUUUGAAAAAUUUUACUCAAAGGAUACUCAUGAACUCUGGUUUCUGGUGCUGCACAUAAGGAGCGAAGUCUUCUCACCACCCUUAGAAGUCAAAAGCUGAGCGAACUGAAAACAACAAACAGCUCUUAGAUCUGCCAGGGAAAUCAGAUCUCAGAUGAAACCACUGCUCCUAAACUAGACAGACAAGUGAAUAACUAUUUACCAGAGCAGAAAUCCAUGGAGGAGCAACCCCCAUGGAACCAGUGCCAGGGUAGAAACACCAGAACUGUAAUUGACGAAGUGCUGGGGGCUCAUUGUGGACAAGUCUGGAGGUAAAAACUCUGGCUAGACCCAGUCACCAGGCAUGGGGCAGAAUGGGGCCCAUUUUUGUGAAUUUUGCCUCCUAGAGAUCAAACAGGAUCCUGCUUCCAGCAAGAGGAGGGAAAAAGGAACUAUUUUGAAAUACAACAAAGCAUUCUCUUCUUAACAAAGCCCACCCUCAGAAGAAACUGGCUAACCAGAGCCUAGUCUGCUAGGGUUUUCUCCAAGUCUAACUACCUUGGGUGAAGGGAAUAUCCAACUCUAGCCCACUCCAGCCGUCCUGUGCCACCUACAUGGGGAUAAAUUUGAGAAGUACUUGAUGAAGUUUACAGUGCAGAGGCACAGGCUUGCCACAUAGCGAGACCUAUUCACUGGACUGUAGUGGGUUUCCCCUCCCCACACCUUAAAGGCCAAUUUACACAGUUCCUUUCACCCAUGACAACAUGCCCUGCUAUCAAGAAAAAAUUACAAGACAAACUGAAAGGCAAACAAACAAAACAAAUAGUUUGAAAAGACAGAACAGCCAUCAGAACCAGAUAGGGAAGGGAACAUUCUCAUGCCAGAAAGUUCAAAAAACUAUAAUUAAUAUGCAAAGGGUACUAAUGGAUAAAGUAAAUACCAUGAAAGAACAGCUGAGCAAUGUAAGCAGAGAAAUGGAAAUUCUAUGAAAUAACCGAAAAGAAAAACUAGAGAAGAAAAACACUGUUACAGAAAUGGAGAAUGCCUUUAAUGAGCUUCUAAUUAAUAAAUAGUAGACUGGACACAGCUGUGAAAAGAAUCCCUGAGUUUGAGAAUAUCUCAGUAGAAAUUUCCAAAAUUAAAAACCAAAGAGAAAAACAACUGAAAACAAUAGAAUGAAAUUGAGACAAUUAUCUGGGACAACUGCAAAAGGAACCACGUAUGUGCAAUGGAAAUUCCCAAAGGAGAAAAGACAGAAAAGGGAAGGAAAAUAUACGUGAAACAAUAAUAACUGAGAAUUUCCCCAGGUUAAUGUCAGAUAUCAAACCACAGAUCCAGGAAACUCAGAGAACCCCAAGCAGGGACUGUUUAUUUAAUUUGUUGGAAGACAGAAUGUCAAUUAUUAGAAUAAUAGACCAAAUUGAAUAAUGUGAUGUAAAGAAUGAAGUUAAAGGCCAAUGACUAGGAGGCACACAACACCAACUCCACAGGAGUAAAACAGAGAAGACCUGGCCAUUCUCACAUUCCAUGGAUUCCUGAGCAUCUCCUCACUGGCCAGUGGUGGAAACCAGGUGCUGCAUUCCUCAAUAGUCUCUCAAAGGAUUGUUUUCUUGAACAUCACAAGGGAGUAGGGAAUAAUUAGGAUGCAUACGAAAUGAGAAAAGCAAUAUGACAAGAAUUCUUGGCCCAGAACCACAGAGAAAUUUCAGGCUUAUUUAUGUCUGGUGCUGAAAGGAAGGAGUUUCUUUCAAUAAUAGCUGGAGAUAAAACCUCGCAAACAUGUUCCGGAGUGAAGAGGAGAAGUGGUGCCUGGGAAAGCCUGGCAAAUGGCAGACAAGUCUGGAAGCUUGUGCUCACUCAUUGCCUUAGGGCUCAGUGCAGGACUGUUUUCCAUGACUAAGUACAGUCCUAGUGGGUUGGUGGUGAGGAGGUAGGGGGUUAAGGGGCAGGGAUGGGGGAGUGGAGGAGGUUGGUAAUGGUAAACAUUUAUGUUGCCCUUGCUGCAUGCUACAGAUGCUACAUGCUCUAGAUGCUAGAAACACAGAAGUGAGAUAGAGUAGGGGCGGUCACUGUCAUUGUCUUUGACCUGUAAGUCAUAGAUAUCUGUAUGUACUCAUGUUUAGAUCCUGUGAAGAGGUCGUUUGAAAUAAGGACUUACCUCCUUGUGAUAAGGAGCCCAGAAUUCUUCUGAAGCACACCCCCCCGAGUCCCAGCCCAAGUAUGAGGCCCAGGAUCAGAGCAUCAAGCAGUGUCAGGGAGAAGUCAGGUUCUUGACCAUCUGUUCACAAAGGGAAUCCCUUGUCCCUCCCAUCCUCAGGUUCUGCCAUCCUCCCAUAUAGCUGGUGAUAUCUGGGAAAGUAUUGAGGGGCCCCACAGAAUUUCAAAGUCCCUUUGGUAUACCAGGGAAGGUUCUAGAGAUCAACCAGCUUGGGGCCAAGGAGAUAAGUCAUCCCAGCAGACCCACUUUCCCGACUCUCCACCAAAGAUGCAUGUGUCCCUGUGAUCUUUUGAAAUAUAUAUUUGGUCUUUGACUUUGCUUCCCGGCAUAUAUCUGUUAAAAUUUUUAGUGACUCAAAAGUAAUGUCUUUUUGUAUUUUAAUGAGUCCGUCAUGAUUUAACCCAUACGCCUGCCUAAUGAAGCCUCUUAAAAAACCAAAAAGAUAGCAUUUGAAGAGCUUCUGGGUAGCUGAAUGUGCAGUAGUUACUAGAUGGUGGGGCACCAGAAGAGAGCAUGGAAGUUCCAUGCCUUUUCCCCCAUAUCUUGCCCUAUGCAUCUCUUCAUCUGUAUCCUUUGUAAUAUCCUUUAUAAUUAACUGGUAAACAAAGUAACUGUUUGCCUGAGUUCUGUGAGCCACUCUAGCAAAUUAAUCAAAUUCAAGGAGGGGGCUUACGAGAUCCCUGAUUUAUAGCCAGUCAGUCAGAAGCACAGGUAAAACAACUGGGGCCUUGAGAUUGGCCUCAGAAGUUUGGGCAGUCUUGGGGACUGAACUCCUCACCUGUGGGAUCUGAGGCUAUCUCCAGAUAGACAGAGUCAGAAUUGAACUGAAGGACACCCUGCUGGUGGCUGCAGCGUUGAUUGCUUGCUUUAGGGUGGGAAGUAGCCACCAAACAUUUGGCCAAAGAAGUUUUCUGUGUUGAUUGUCAUGGUGUGAAAGCAAAUUAAAAAUAGAGUUUGGUUUUUUCUCUUAGCUACUCACUCACUAUCAGCCCACCAGGAAACACCCUCCCCUUCCUGCACUGCUUUCUGCUGUGCUCAGGCAAGCAAAGCAUCCCUAUAUAGACCACAGGGUAUAAAUAAUGCUCCAUUUCUUGUGGAGUGUUCCCAGUCAGGUCCACUGCCUGGCUCCUGGGAAGAAGAUGGGUCAGAGAAGUCAGGAGAAAACACACCCCAACUCCGAAGGCCUCGAGUGAAUCUCAGGUUCCCUUUAUUGACUCCAAGGAAAAUCCUGCCCAAAUGGGGCCACAUGGCAUGCAGCACUAGAGAGAGAUUUCCUCCUUCAGAACUCUCCAAAGGUAAGAGGAAAGACCUUUAAAAAUGCAGUUCUUUACCUCUGCUUUAUAGACCAUGGUCCUGUCCCACUACUGCACAGGGCCAUGCUAUCUGCAAUUCCAACCAUUCUGAGCCAACUGCUUAUUGUACUUCUUAGAGUAGUAAGCUCCAAUAGGCCUUUGUUUCAUAAUAAUUGUUUCUGAACUUUUUUUGGUCCAUAUCUAUGGGGUCUGUGAUGCCAGUACAGUGGAUGACUUUAUAGUCUACUAAAAAUGGAUCCCUGGAAACCUCUUUUCGAGGAGUAAGAUUUUGCCACUGAUUUCAGAAGAAUAUCUGUGAGUCAUCCAUUUGUUUAUCUGAACAGAUGCUGCUGACUUUUGGCAUCAUAGCAGAAGGGAUGAGUCCCCAAGGUAUGUUAUAAUCAGACAGCAUGUGCGGCGGGUCAGCCCAGGGAACAGUAACUCUUAACUGCAGACAUGUAUCAAAAGGGGAAGUAGUAAUGGAGCUGUUGCCCUGCCGGCUGGUAGCCCGUUCCAGGGCAGAACUUUAAUUAGUGGCUCCCUUAACAGCCAGACCUGCUUGGUGUACAUCCAUAAAAAGCUAUCUGAGCACCAAAGUGGCCUUUGCCCACUCAUUAAUUGUCACCUUUCUGCCUGAACCAUAAUAAUCCUGCUGACCCUUGAUUUCAGGUGGAAGUGGCUUUUAUUCCCUCUAACCCUCAAAGAUGAAGGUUUCACAGCAUUUCCUUUGCUGGCCCAAGCCCAGAAUUCAAGUUAAAUGGCUUUGCCAAAGUUGUGAACUAAAUGAAGGA